AGCUCUGUGAUUUCAACCAAUCAUAUUGGUUUUAUACGCUAUUCUGAUUGGAGCUGUUGAAAAAUAAGACUUAUGAGAGCU
rfam:Oryza barthii chromosome 5, whole genome shotgun sequence.